GUGAGAGGUGAUGGGCAGGUGCUGUGCAAUGAAUCGGGCUUGGACAGAGGCACAUGCAGUGUUGGAGAGUCGGAGAGGCUCACAGAGCAAGGGGACUUGUCAUCCGCUGGUGUCCCAGGGAGGCCCAGAUCUGACUGAGUGAGAAUGUAGCAGCACAACUUGGGAUUUGAGCUCUGCACAUACGGGGGAGAAAUUGGCGAUGCUGCCUCACAGCCCGUCCUGUUGAGCGAGAGCUUGCCUGUGACUCUCCACGGCCAACAGCCAGGAGAAGAUCAUAGCCCAGUUAUUGGCCAAAGCAGAGACUCUGGCUGUCCUGGACAAAGAUGCAAAUCAGACCUGCUACCAGCUUGCUCAGUGCAGAGCAUCAGACAGGGCUUACAGUAUGGUGGGAGAGGAGGACAGGACUGUGAAGAAGAGCAGGAGUGUGGGGCAGAGCCGUGCCGGGAUCAGCUCUUCUCCUGAGGCCACUUCACCUCUCCCAGCCUGGCUGCUGCAUCCCCAACUUUGCCUAAGCUGCAUGAGUUUGGCUUCUGGGGAACUGGCAUCCAAACUGUCCUUACUGAACUGAAAAUGACACCACAAACCCAGAGCCCCAGAGACAAGCGCGACCUCCCGGUGCUGCUGCCCUAGAAGCAAGACCAGGUGGGCUGGGCUUCCGCCCUUGGGGAAUUUCGUUGGUCAAGCCUGAAAGUGCUCCAAGGGGUGCUUUUGGUGACAUUGCAGCCAGGACCUAGGAAAUGAUGGCCAGUUGCAGCUGCUAACAAGGCCAAAGUGACCAACUCAGUACUCUUUCCUGCUGUACCCCACAUGUAUGUAUAAUAAAUUAUCUAAAAAAAAUACU